rnacentral:SRP_RNA from 1 species
UUGCAGGCUAGGUUGGGAGGUUAGCCCUCUCCUGUUACUGUAAACGGGCUUCAGACAGAACCGAAGUUCAUAAGGCGAUAUGGAUUUCAAGUAUUGGUCUUAAUCUGUACGUUGAGGUCUUGUCCUGAUUGGUUAAUGAUAUUGAGAAUCGUGUGAGGUUAGGAAUAAAGCAACACUAAUCAUUAUUGUUGGCGCUUUCGGGGUUGCAGGGCUGAGGAAGGAUUGAGGUAACUAAUAUUUGUAUUUAUAUCCACUUCUGGACAUGCCUGCAA